AGUGAACGCUGGCGGUAGGCCUAACACAUGCAAGUCGAACGGCAGCACAGUAAGAGCUUGCUCUUACGGGUGGCGAGUGGCGGACGGGUGAGGAAUACAUCGGAAUCUACUUUUUCGUGGGGGAUAACGUAGGGAAACUUACGCUAAUACCGCAUACGACCUACGGGUGAAAGCAGGGGAUCUUCGGACCUUGCGCGAUUGAAUGAGCCGAUGUCGGAUUAGCUAGUUGGCGGGGUAAAGGCCCACCAAGGCGACGAUCCGUAGCUGGUCUGAGAGGAUGAUCAGCCACACUGGAACUGAGACACGGUCCAGACUCCUACGGGAGGCAGCAGUGGGGAAUAUUGGACAAUGGGCGCAAGCCUGAUCCAGCCAUACCGCGUGUGUGAAGAAGGCCUUCGGGUUGUAAAGCCCUUUUGUUGGGAAAGAAAAGCAGGAGGUUAAUACCCCGCUGUUAUGACGGUACCCAAAGAAUAAGCACCGGCUAACUUCGUG
rnacentral:rRNA from 1 species